UAACAUUUAAUUAAUUGAAAAUUCAUUGUAUUUUACAAAUAUAAUCAAUAGAAUUUAAAUAAAUUCAUCAAAUAAAUAAUGUAUACUUGAUUAAAUAAAUUUAUGAAUUUUACUAAAUGUAUUCAAUGAACUAAACUAAAUGUUAGUUAUUAAAUUGUUUGAAUUAAAACUAAUCUAAUGUACCUAUCUACUUGAUUAACUAAAUUCAUGUAUUUACAUAAAUUUAUCUAAAUGUAUUCAAUGAACUAAACUAAAUGUUAGUUAUUAAAUUGUAUUAAUUGAAUUUGAACUAAUUCAUCUAAUGUACCUAUCUACUUGAUUAACUAAAUUCAUGUAUUUACAUAAAUUUAUCUAAAUGUAUUCAAUGAACUAAACUAAAUGUUAGUUAUUAAAUUGCAUUAAUUGAAUUUGAACUAAUUCAUCUAAUGUACCUAUCUACUUGAUUAACUAAAUUCAUGUAUUUACAUAAAUUUAUCUAAGUGUAUUCAAUGAACUAAAAUAAAUGUAAUUUCAUUAAAUUGUAUCAAUUGAAUUUGACUACUUAUCUACGUAAUUAAAGAGUAUUCAUGUAUUUACAUAAUUUAGCUAAGUCAUAAAUCCAAUGAACUAAAUUAGAAAUUAAAUGUAUUUAAUGAAUUAAGUUAAAAUUAUUGUCUAGAUAAACAAACACAAAGUAUUCUUUUAUUUCAUAGUAACUUGUUAACUUGUUAAAAAUUAAAGAUGAGAUUCAACUAGAUUUAAACUUCAAGAAAAAACAAGUUACAAUAGACUCAUAUUUUAAUAAAUUGACAUAGUCAGUUACAUUUGUAAUUUCACAGUAUUUAUAAUUUCUACAAUUAUUAAUUUAUGAUAUAAAUGUGACCAUAGAGUUAUAUAGGAGUUCUCA
rnacentral:lncRNA from 1 species